rnacentral:rRNA from 1 species
UCGCCUGUUUUAUCAAAAACAUCGCCUCUUGCCAUACCCAUAUAAGAGGUCGUACCUGCCCAAUGAUACACAUUUAAUGGCCGCGGUAUUCUGACCGUGCAAAGGUAGCGUAAUCACUUGUCCUUUAAAUGAGGACCCGUAUGAAUGGUUUGACGAGGGCUUAACUGUCUCCUCUCCUAAAUCAAUGAAAUUGAUCUCUUCGUGCAAAAGCGAAGAUAAAAACAUAAGACGAGAAGACCCUGUGGAGCUUAAGAUAAAAAUAUAGACUUAGACCAGAGACUUUAAAAAUAAAUAAAGCCAAAAACUUUUAUAUAAUAUCUUCAGUUGGGGCGACUACGGAGAAUAAAAAACCUCCGCGAAGACAAGAACAUAAAUUCCCAAAACUUAGAAACACCCUUCAACCCAAUAGAAUUUCUAACUUUUAUUGAUCCAACCUGUUGAUCAACGGAAAAAGUUACCCCAGGGAUAACAGCGCAAUCCCCUUUCAGAGUCCCUAUCGACAAGGGGGUUUACGACCUCGAUGUUGGACCAGGACAUCCUAAUGGUGCAGCCGCUAUUAAGG